AAGUCGCUUAAGGCGGCCGUUGCGAGAAAAACAGCUGAUCGUCUCUGCGAGCCGCGUUUUCUGUUCUGUCACCUAUAAUGCUGCGAAAAGAAUGUGAUCGCGACUACCGGGGAGUAUUUGCGUCGCAGAGGAAUAUCAGAAGCUGCGAAGGGCAAGGAAAACAUGGAAUUCUAGCCGUAAGCAUCCGGAGCUUGUCGAUGGAGUGAGAGGCAUGCGUUCGGCUACCUAAUGCAUCGCAGGCACUCUCUAACAUCUCCUGGCUGCCAUUGGGCCUGGAGUUCCCCAGUCUUCACUGCUGCUGUAGCCACCUCGUCAGCCAUGAACAUUAGGACUUUAUUUCCGUUUUAACUUGUCUUCUUUUUUCUAUUCUUUGUUUCGUGUUUCUUUACUUGCGUGUCAUCUUUUUGGUGUGACAAGUGUAGUGCAUAAGUGUUUUUAAAUCGAUACUCCACUUUCUUGUGGCAGUGUGAGCGCGUCUUCACAAGUUGCUUUGAUAUGUGAUCGUCAGCCUUCUGAAAUGAUGCACACAACACAUAUCAUGUGGCGUCAUUUCAUGCGGCAAGCCUGUAAGCAUAGCCUUUCUCUCCAGUGAAACUGACACUGCAAGAUUUCGUGGCAGUGCUUGCUCUUCAUAAGUUUUUUGACAUGUGCUAGUCAGCUAUCUGAAAUGAUAUGCAGACCAUGCUUGACUGUACACCAAAAGACUGUAGUUGUCACUUGAAUUAGGAAUGUAUAUGACACAAGUGUUUUUACGAGUUGUACUAAAGGAUGGUAUGCCUGUUUGCCACUCACAGAAGGUGCUUUUACACUAAGCAAAACAAUUACACAGUCUACUAUCUGUGUCCUUUUUGAAACUGCAGUUGACUUUUGCGUGGGUCACAGCUAUCAAUCCUUUUGCAAAGUUAUGCCCUCGAAAACCAAACAUAUACUUUUUUUGGAAACAAAUUAGGCCAGUUACAUUGCAACAUGCAUUUUACAUUUAUGUAAUGUUGACGCUAUAUCUGUAAGAAAAAGCUUUGCUAUUGCUAUUCAGGAAAGCAUCCCGUCAAUUGCACAGGUGUGUUUUGCACACUGUAUACAUUGGUUUGUCUUGCCACUUCAUGUCAUACCAUUGUUAUGCAACUGUCCUUUCUUAUAAACAUUGACAAACCGCCAUCUUGUUAGGGGUACUAUACUACUCUGUAAUAUAUCUGAAAUGCAUAGCUGUGCACACAAUUGCCCAUGUACCUUGUGAUUCAUAUACUGUGCACAUUUCAUGUGUCCCUUUUUUUCAUGCGAUAGGAUGGGACACAGCAAUAAACAGAGACAACAUGUCCCGAACUUAAACUAAUAUUUGAGGUGCGCAGACAUUGUUUACAGUAUUGGUCCCUGCCACACGCAACCACAAAGGUGCUCCUUGAGACGCAUAUAACGCUUUUAGCAACGUAACAUGUCCAUAGUAGAAAGGCAUGCUGAUGUCAUCUAUAUUUGCAUUGUAGUAGUCAUUAAUUAGCCAUGCAGUACAAUGUCACACUGUGCUUCCUUCAGCAUGAUGUUUCUUGUAACUUGUGCAUGUAAUAAAUGUCAGCAAUGCUUUAAAAACAUGA
rnacentral:lncRNA from 1 species